rnacentral:rRNA from 1 species
CAAUAGCGUAUAUUAAAGUUGUUGCAGUUAAAAAGCUCGUAGUUGGACCUUGGACCUGGACAGGCGGUCCGCCUCACGGCGAGUACUGUCUUGCCGGGCCUUUCCUCUUGGUGAUCUGUUGUUUCGGCAGCAGGGAACCAGGACCUUUACUUUGAAAAAAUUAGAGUGUUCAAAGCAGGCUCGACGCCGGAAUAUAUUAGCAUGGAAUAAUAAAAUAGGACGUGCGGUUCUAUUUUGUUGGUUUUUGGAAUCGCCGUAAUGAUUAAUAGGGACAGUCGGGGGCAUUAGUACUCACAUGCUAGAGGUGAAAUUCUUGGAUUUUGUGAAGACUAACUUCUGCGAAAGCAUUUGCCAAGGAUGUUUUCGUUAA